CUGGGUUUGACAUGCACAGGACGCCGGUAGAGAUAUCGGUUCCCUUGUGGUCUGUGUGCAGGUGGUGCAUGGCUGUCGUCAGCUCGUGUCGUGAGAUGUUGGGUUAAGUCCCGCAACGAGCGCAACCCUUGUCUCAUGUUGCCAGCGCGUUAUGGCGGGGACUCGUGAGAGACUGCCGGGGUCAACUCGGAGGAAGGUGGGGAUGACGUCAAGUCAUCAUGCCCCUUAUGUCCAGGGCUUCACACAUGCUACAAUGGCCGGUACAAAGGGCUGCGAUGCCGUGAGGCUUAGCGAAUCCUUAAAAGCCGGUCUCAGUUCGGAUCGGGGUCUGCAACUCGACCCCGUGAAGUCGGAGUCGCUAGUAAUCGCAGAUCAGCAACGCUGCGGUGAAUACGUUCCC
rnacentral:rRNA from 1 species